rnacentral:tRNA from 1 species
GGGACCUUGGCGCAGUUGGCUAGCGCGCAGGUCUCAUACUACUCACAUGUAUGAUUUGACUGGGUGACUUACCAACCAAAAAAACAGUUCAGAGUAAUCCUGAGGUCGGGAGUUCGAGCCUCCCAGGUCCCA